UAACGCGUGAGUAACCUGCCCAUAAGAGGGGGAUAAUCCAUGGAAACGUGGACUAAUACCGCAUAUUGAAUAUUUACCGCAUGGCAGAUAUUUGAAAGAUUUAUCGCUUAUGGAUGGACUCGCGUCAGAUUAGCUAGUUGGUGAGGUAAAGGCUCACCAAGGCGACGAUCUGUAGCCGAACUGAGAGGUUGAUCGGCCGCAUUGGGACUGAGACACGGCCCAGACUCCUACGGGAGGCAGCAG
rnacentral:rRNA from 1 species